AGUGAACGCUGGCGGUAGGCCUAACACAUGCAAGUCGAACGGCAGCACAGUAAGAGCUUGCUCUUACGGGUGGCGAGUGGCGGACGGGUGAGGAAUACAUCGGAAUCUACUUUUUCGUGGGGGGUAACGUAGGGAAACUUACGCUAAUACCGCAUACGACCUACGGGUGAAAGCAGGGGAUCUUCGGACCUUGCGCGAUUGAAUGAGCCGAUGUCGGAUUAGCUAGUUGGCGGGGUAAAGGCCCACCAAGGCGACGAUCCGUAGCUGGUCUGAGAGGAUGAUCAGCCACACUGGAACUGAGACACGGUCCAGACUCCUACGGGAGGCAGCAGUGGGGAAUAUUGGACAAUGGGCGCAAGCCUGAUCCAGCCAUACCGCGUGGGUGAAGAAGGCCUUCGGGUUGUAAAGCCCUUUUGUUGGGAAAGAAAAGCAGCAGGUUAAGACCCCGCUGUUCUGACGGUACCCAAAGAAUAAGCACCGGCUAACUUCGU
rnacentral:rRNA from 1 species